AGGAAUUAGCUCAGUCUCGGAGAGCGCAUCGCUGGCAGUGAUGAGGCAAGGGGUUCGAGCCCCCUAAUUUCGACCA
rnacentral:tRNA from 1 species